GAUGAACGCUGGCGGCGUGCCUAAUACAUGCAAGUCGAGCGAACAGACGAGGAGCUUGCUCCUCUGACGUUAGCGGCGGACGGGUGAGUAACACGUGGAUAACCUACCUAUAAGACUGGGAUAACUUCGGGAAACCGGAGCUAAUACCGGAUAAUAUAUUGAACCGCAUGGUUCAAUAGUGAAAGACGGUUUUGCUGUCACUUAUAGAUGGAUCCGCGCCGCAUUAGCUAGUUGGUAAGGUAACGGCUUACCAAGGCAACGAUGCGUAGCCGACCUGAGAGGGUGAUCGGCCACACUGGAACUGAGACACGGUCCAGACUCCUACGGGAGGCAGCAGUAGGGAAUCGUCCGCAAUGGGGGAAAGCCUGACGGAGCAACGCGGCGUGAGUGAUGAAGGUCUUCGGAUCGUAAAACUCUGUUAUUAGGGAAGAGCAAAUGUGUAAGUAACUAUGCACGUCUUGACGGUACCUGAUCAGAAAGCCACGGCUAACUACGUG
rnacentral:rRNA from 1 species